GCGCCAGUAGCUCAGCUGGAUAGAGCAACGGCCUUCUAAGCCGUAGGUCAGGGGUUCGAGUCCCUUCUGGCGCGCCA
rnacentral:tRNA from 1 species